CAGCGCCACAAGUGGUAACCAUAGUUAUUGGGCCUAAAGCGUCCGUAGCCUGUUCUGUAAAUCUUCUGUGAAAUCGUUGAGCUCAACUUAACGGACUGCAGAAGAGACUACAAGACUUGGGACCGGAAGGAGUCAGAAGUAUUUCUAGGGGAGCGGUAAAAUGUUAUAAUCCUAGAAAGACUACCUGUGGCGAAGGCGUCUGACUAGUACGGAUCCGACGGUGAGGGACGAGAGCUAGGGGAGCAAUCCGGAUUAGAUACCCGAGUAGUCC
rnacentral:rRNA from 1 species